UGCUUGUCUCAGUCGUAACAAGGUUUCACUGUAGUCAUAUGCUUGUCUCAAGUCCGUAACAAGGUUUCACUGUAGUCAUAUGCUUGUCUCAAGUCGUAACAAGGGUUCACUGUAGUCAUAUGCUUGCGGGGAGUAUUUAUUAGAUUUCAACCAAUGCCCUUCGGGGCUCCUUGGUGAAUCAUAAUAACUUAACGAAUCGCAUGGCCUUGCGCCGGCGAUGGUUCAUUCAAAUUUCUGCCCUAUCAACUUUCGAUGGUAGGAUAGUGGCCUACCAUGGGUGGCAACGGGUAACGGGGAAUUAGGGUUCGAUUCCGGAGAGGGAGCCUGAGAAACGGCUACCACAUCCAAGGAAGGCAGCAGGCGCGCAAAUUACCCAAUCCCGACACGGGGAGGUAGUGACAAUAAAUACUGAUACGGGGCUCUUUUGGGUCUCGUAAUUGGAAUGAGUACAAUCUAAAUCCCUUAACGAGGAACAAUUGGAGGGCAAGUCUGGCCGCCAGCAGCCGCGGUAAUUCCAGCUCCAAUAGCGUAUAUUAAAGUUGUUGCAGUUAAAAAAAGCUCGUAAUUUGAAACCUUGGGUCUGGCUGGGCCGGUCCGCCUCACCGCGAGUACUGGUCCGGCUGGACCCUUUUCCUUCUGGGGGAAUCUCAUGGCCUUUCACUGACUGUUGGUGAGGAACCAGGACUUUUUACUGUG
rnacentral:rRNA from 1 species